rnacentral:sRNA from 1 species
GCUGGGCGAGGUGGCGCAGGCCUGUAAUCCCAGUGGCUAGGGAAGCUGAGGCAGGAGGAUCACAGUUCAAAGCCAGCCUCAGCAACUUAUCGAGACCCUGUCUCAA